UAUAAUGGGUCAGCGACUUAUAUUCUGUAGCAAGGUUAACCGAAUAGGGGAGCCGGAGGGAAACCGAGUCUUAACCGGGCGUUAAGUUGCAGGGUAUAGACCCGAAACCCGGUGAUCUAGCCAUGGGCAGGUUGAAGGUUGGGUAACACUAACUGGAGGACCGAACCGACUAAUGUUGAAAAAUUAGCGGAUGACCUGUGGCUGGGGGUGAAAGGCCAAUCAAACCGGGAGAUAGCUGGUUCUCCCCGAAAGCUAUUUAGGUAGCGCCUCGUGAAUUCAUCUCCGGGGGUAGAGCACUGUUUCGGCUAGGGGGCCAUCCCGGCUUACCAACCCGAUGCAAACUGCGAAUACCGGAGAAUGUUAUCACGGGAGACACACGGCGGGUGCUAACGUCCGUCGUGAAGAGGGAAACAACCCAGACCGCCAGCUAAGGUCCCAAAGUCAUGGUUAAGUGGGAAACGAUGUGGGAAGGCCCAGACAGCCAGGAUGUUGGCUUAGAAGCAGCCAUCAUUUAAAGAAAGCGUAAUAGCUCACUGGUCGAGUCGGCCUGCGCGGAAGAUGUAACGGGGCUAAACCAUGCACCGAAGCUGCGGCAGCGACACUGUGUGUUGUUGGGUAGGGGAGCGUUCUGUAAGCCUGUGAAGGUGUGUCGUGAGGCAUGCUGGAGGUAUCAGAAGUGCGAAUGCUGACAUAAGUAACGAUAAAGCGGGUGAAAAGCCCGCUCGCCGGAAGACCAAGGGUUCCUGUCCAACGUUAAUCGGGGCAGGGUGAGUCGACCCCUAAGGCGAGGCCGAAAGGCGUAGUCGAUGGGAAACGGGUUAAUAUUCCCGUACUUGGUGUUACUGCGAAGGGGGGACGGAGAAGGCUAUGUUGGCCGGGCGACGGUUGUCCCGGUUUAAGCGUGUAGGUGUGUGUUCCAGGUAAAUCCGGUUCACUUUAACACUGAGGCGUGACGACGAGGCACUACGGUGCUGAAGCAACAAAUGCCCUGCUUCCAGGAAAAGCCUCUAAGCAUCAGGUAACAUCAAAUCGUACCCCAAACCGACACAGGUGGUCAGGUAGAGAAUACCAAGGCGCUUGAGAGAACUCGGGUGAAGGAACUAGGCAAAAUGGUGCCGUAACUUCGGGAGAAGGCACGCUGACACGUAGGUGAAGUGAUUUACUCAUGGAGCUGAAGUCAGUCGAAGAUACCAGCUGGCUGCAACUGUUUAUUAAAAACACAGCACUGUGCAAACACGAAAGUGGACGUAUACGGUGUGACGCCUGCCCGGUGCCGGAAGGUUAAUUGAUGGGGUCAGCGCAAGCGAAGCUCCUGAUCGAAGCCCCGGUAAACGGCGGCCGUAACUAUAACGGUCCUAAGGUAGCGAAAUUCCUUGUCGGGUAAGUUCCGACCUGCACGAAUGGCGUAAUGAUGGCCAGGCUGUCUCCACCCGAGACUCAGUGAAAUUGAACUCGCUGUGAAGAUGCAGUGUACCCGCGGCAAGACGGAAAGACCCCGUGAACCUUUACUAUAGCUUGACACUGAACAUUGAGCCUUGAUGUGUAGGAUAGGUGGGAGGCUUUGAAGUGUGGACGCCAGUCUGCAUGGAGCCGACCUUGAAAUACCACCCUUUAAUGUUUGAUGUUCUAACGUGGACCCGUUACCCGGGUUGCGGACAGUGUCUGGUGGGUAGUUUGACUGGGGCGGUCUCCUCCUAAAGAGUAACGGAGGAGCACGAAGGUUGGCUAAUCCUGGUCGGACAUCAGGAGGUUAGUGCAAUGGCAUAAGCCAGCUUGACUGCGAGCGUGACGGCGCGAGCAGGUGCGAAAGCAGGUCAUAGUGAUCCGGUGGUUCUGAAUGGAAGGGCCAUCGCUCAACGGAUAAAAGGUACUCCGGGGAUAACAGGCUGAUACCGCCCAAGAGUUCAUAUCGACGGCGGUGUUUGGCACCUCGAUGUCGGCUCAUCACAUCCUGGGGCUGAAGUAGGUCCCAAGGGUAUGGCUGUUCGCCAUUUAAAGUGGUACGCGAGCUGGGUUUAGAACGUCGUGAGACAGUUCGGUCCCUAUCUGCCGUGGGCGCUGGAGAACUGAGGGGGGCUGCUCCUAGUACGAGAGGACCGGAGUGGACGCAUCACUGGUGUUCGGGUUGUCAUGCCAAUGGCACUGCCCGGUAGCUAAAUGCGGAAGAGAUAAGUGCUGAAAGCAUCUAAGCACGAAACUUGCCCCGA
rnacentral:rRNA from 2 species